rnacentral:rRNA from 1 species
CCUACGGGAGGCAGCAGUAGGGAAUCUUUCACAAUGGGCGAAAGCCUGAUGGAGCAACGCCGCGUGCAGGAUGAAGGCCUUCGGGUUGUAAACUGCUUUUAUAAGCGAGAAAUAUGAUGGUAACUUAUGAAUAAGGAUCGGCUAACUACGUGCCAGCAGCCGCUGUCAUACGUAGGAUCCGAGCAUUAUCCGGAGUGACUGGGUGUAAAGAGUUGCGUAGGUGGCAUAAUAAGUAGCUAGUGAAAUCUGGUGGCUCAACCAUUCAGACUAUUAGCUAAACUGUUAAGCUCGAGACCGUUAGGGGUAACUGGAAUUUCUAGUGUAGGAGUGAAAUCCGUAGAUAUUAGAAGGAACACCAAUAGCGUAGGCAGGUUGCUGGGACGGUUCUGACACUAAGGCACGAAAGCGUAGGGAGCAAAUGGGAUUAGAUACCCGAGUAGUC